AAGUCGUAACAAGGUUUCCGUAGGUGAACCUGCGGAAGGAUCAUUAUUGAUUUUUAAAGGAUGUGCUGGCGUCCCUACCCGGGUUGCAUGGUGCACUCCUCACAAAAACCGAUAUUCCCACACCUGUGCAUCCUCAGUAGGCGAAAAAGGGACCUUUUGUGUUCCUCUUUGUCUAUGUUCUCUUUUAUUGCAAACACUUGAUUCAUUUGAAUGAUCUUUUUGUGAAAACACACAAUUGUAAUACAACUUUCAACAAUGGAUCUCUUGGUUCUC
rnacentral:misc_RNA from 1 species